GGUUGACCUCGGAUCAGGUAGGAAUACCCGCUGAACUUAAGCAUAUCAAUAAGUCCGGAGG
rnacentral:rRNA from 1 species